CCCCCGGGGGCGGUCGGGGCCGGGCUGCCCGCCGCGGCCGCGAUGGCCUCGCCCAGCGAGGGGUCCUGUUCGAGGCAGGCCGGGGUG
rnacentral:tRNA from 1 species